rnacentral:tRNA from 1 species
GGGAAAGUGGCUCAGUGGUAUAGCACUUGCCUUGCAUGCAUGAGGCCCUGGGUUCAAUUCCUCAGCACCA